rnacentral:rRNA from 1 species
AGAGUUUGAUCCUGGCUCAGGAUGAACGCUGGCGGCGUGCCUAAUACAUGCAAGUCGAACGAGAGGAAGGAAAGCUUGCUUUUCUGAAUCUAGUGGCGAACGGGUGAGUAACACGUAGGUAACCUGCCCAUGUGCCCGGGAUAACUUCUGGAAACGGAUGCUAAAACCGGAUAGGUAGCAGACAAGCAUUUGACUGCUAUUAAAGUGGCCUUGGCCAUGAACAUGGAUGGACCUGCGGUGCAUUAGCUGGUUGGUGAGGUAACGGCCCACCAAGGCGACGAUGCAUAGCCGGCCUGAGAGGGCGGACGGCCACAUUGGGACUGAGACACGGCCCAAACUCCUACGGGAGGCAGCAGUAGGGAAUUUUCGUCAAUGGGGGGAACCCUGAACGAGCAAUGCCGCGUGAGUGAGGAAGGUCUUCGGAUCGUAAAGCUCUGUUGUAAGAGAAAAACGGCACUCAUAGGGAAUGAUGAGUGAGUGAUGGUAUCUUACCAGAAAGUCACGGCUAACUACGUGCCAGCAGCCGCGGUAAUACGUAGGUGGCGAGCGUUAUCCGGAAUGAUUGGGCGUAAAGGGUGCGUAGGUGGCAGAUCAAGUCUGGAGUAAAAGGUAUGGGCUCAACCCGUACUGGCUCUGGAAACUGAUCAGCUAGAGAACAGAAGAGGACGGCGGAACUCCAUGUGUAGCGGUAAAAUGCGUAGAUAUAUGGAAGAACACCGGUGGCGAAGGCGGCCGUCUGGUCUGGAUUCUGACACUGAAGCACGAAAGCGUGGGGAGCAAAUAGGAUUAGAUACCCUAGUAGUCCACGCCGUAAACGAUGAGAACUAGGUGUUGGGGGAAUAACUCAGUGCCGCAGUUAACGCAGUAAGUUCUCCGCCUGGGGAGUAUGCACGCAAGUGUGAAACUCAAAGGAAUUGACGGGGGCCCGCACAAGCGGUGGAGUAUGUGGUUUAAUUCGAAGCAACGCGAAGAACCUUACCAGGCCUUGACAUCCCUUGCAGAGGUAUAGAGAUAUAUCCGAGGUUAUCAAGGAGACAGGUGGUGCAUGGUUGUCGUCAGCUCGUGUCGUGAGAUGUUGGGUUAAGU